rnacentral:rRNA from 1 species
UACGAAGGGUGCAAACGUUGCUCGGAAUCAUUGGGCGUAAAGCGCACGUAGGCGGCGCAACAAGUCGGACGCGAAAUCCCUCGGCUCAACCGAGGACGUGCAUCCGAAACUGUUGUGCUCGAGUAUGGAAGAGGGUCGCGGAAUUCUCGGUGUAGAGGUGAAAUUCGUAGAUAUCGGGAGGAACACCAGUGGCGAAGGCGGCGACCUGGGCCAAUAUUGACGCUGAGGUGCGAAAGCGUGGGGAGCAAACAGG